UCAUCUCCGGGGGUAGAGCACUGUUUCGGCUAGGGGGCCAUCCCGGCUUACCAACCCGAUGCAAACUGCGAAUACCGGAGAAUGUUAUCACGGGAGACACACGGCGGGUGCUAACGUCCGUCGUGAAGAGGGAAACAACCCAGACCGCCAGCUAAGGUCCCAAAGUCAUGGUUAAGUGGGAAACGAUGUGGGAAGGCCCAGACAGCCAGGAUGUUGGCUUAGAAGCAGCCAUCAUUUAAAGAAAGCGUAAUAGCUCACUGGUCGAGUCGGCCUGCGCGGAAGAUGUAACGGGGCUAAACCAUGCACCGAAGCUGCGGCAGCGACGCUGAUGCGUUGUUGGGUAGGGGAGCGUUCUGUAAGCCUGCGAAGGUGGCCUGUGAGGGUUGCUGGAGGUAUCAGAAGUGCGAAUGCUGACAUAAGUAACGAUAAAGCGGGUGAAAAGCCCGCUCGCCGGAAGACCAAGGGUUCCUGUCCAACGUUAAUCGGGGCAGGGUGAGUCGACCCCUAAGGCGAGGCCGAAAGGCGUAGUCGAUGGGAAACGGGUU
rnacentral:rRNA from 1 species